rnacentral:tRNA from 1 species
AUCUGAAUGGCUCAGUUGGUUAAGCAUCUGACUUUGGCUCAGGUCAUGAUCUCAGUUUGUGAGUUCGAACCCCACUUUGGGCU